rnacentral:rRNA from 1 species
AGAGUUUGAUCCUGGCUCAGAUUGAACGCUGGCGGUAUGCUUAACACAUGCAAGUCGAACGGAAACGAUACUAGCUUGCUAGUAGGCGUCGAGUGGCGGACGGGUGAGUAACACGUAGGAAUCUGCCUGAUAGUGGGGGAUAGCCCGAAGAAAUUCGGAUUAAUACCGCAUAAUCUAUUCGUAGUAAAGUGGGGGACUUUUAAGCCUCACGCUAUCAGAUGAGCCUGCGUAAGAUUAGCUAGUUGGUAGGGUAAAAGCCUACCAAGGCAACGAUCUUUAGCUGGUCUGAGAGGAUGAUCAGCCACAUCGGGACUGAGACACGGCCCGAACUCCUACGGGAGGCAGCAGUGGGGAAUAUUGGACAAUGGGGGCAACCCUGAUCCAGCAAUACCGCGUGUGUGAAGAAGGCCUGAGGGUUGUAAAGCACUUUCAAUUGUGAAGAAAAGUUAACGGUUAAUAACCGUUAGCCUUGACGUUAACUUUAGAAGAAGCACCGGCUAACUCCGUGCCAGCAGCCGCGGUAAUACGGAGGGUGCAAGCGUUAAUCGGAAUUACUGGGCGUAAAGCGUGCGUAGGCGGUUUAUUAAGUCAGAUGUGAAAGCCCCGGGCUUAACCUGGGAACUGCAUUUGAAACUGGUCAACUAGAGUAUGGUAGAGGAAAGUGGAAUUUCUGGUGUAGCGGUGAAAUGCGUAGAUAUCAGAAGGAACAUCAAUGGCGAAGGCAGCUUUCUGG